ensembl:lncRNA
GGCAAUGAAGGUAAGUAGUUAGUAAUAUACGUAUUAAUGGUGUCCAGGUUCUGUUUCUGUAUCUGUGUGAGGGAUGGUGAGUAAUUAAUGAGGGGGAAAAAGAUGCUGGCAUUUGGAAAUGCGACUCUGGAUGCCCUGUACAGCGCCCUAAGUUGUUUUAUUGAUGUUUUCUGAGGGUCCUGGUCCCUAUUAUUGAGUCCCACUGAGAAGACCACAACCUUGACAGAGGGGUGUGCUGGAGUUUUCUGUACCACUUUCCAAAAGUGGUAGAAAUUGGCACCAGGGUAGCUGUCGAUUUGUACCUCUGGGUGCAUAAACUCAAGGAUCCUGUUAAGGUUCGAGUCCCCCAAUAUCAGUACAGGUUUUUUACCCCUAAUGUGCCAGUCCUCCAGCUUGCGUGAAGGCCGGGCCUUGUGGCUGGUGGGAAAAAACAAUAAGGUACGGUUCUGUUCUCUCUCACUGCCUGACGUAAAAUCCUCCCAUUCCUCGUCCUCAGCCCGCCCAAAGUGCCCCUGCCGUGAGGACUCCAGCCGCACUGCUACCGAGGUGUUUUUGGAGCCUGGACCGAUCAAGGUGUCUGGGCGGCUGGCUCCCUGGCAGGGGGGCGGAUGGCACGGCUGAGUGACCUGGAGGACAGAGGUCAGCAGAGGAUGGGGAAAGCUGGUCAAUGUCACCUGUGGUGAGUGUUGCCACAUUUGUUAAGUCCCUGGCCUGUCGUACCUGUAAGCCCUGUUUACGAUUCGUUGCCUGUGGUUGGUAAAUUUCCCCUCCGGGAUCACAGACACUGGACUUAAUGGGGUGGUAUGGCGUCUGUUCUGUAAAGGAAGGAUCAUUAAUUACACUCGGUGCCGGAGGAGAGUCUAAUGAAAAGUGAAGGGUCAGCUGGGAUAUUGAAAACUGGUCCUGAUCAGGGCCCUGUGGAGAAAGGUUGGUGACAGGCGAAGGGGAGGAGGCAGCAAGUGGAGGAGGACGGUGAUGACGAGGAGGAAGUCGAGAGCAGGGAGCAGACUCCAGCACCUUUAAAGGGGAGAGAGUCUUUAAAGCUGAGCUAUUAUGAGACUUGAAAUUCCUCCUGGUCAGUUUGGAGGUUUGUUGCAGCACAUAGUGGGUCUGGUUAGACCGUGUGUCCGUGCUUGUGGUGGCUGAUUCAGCUUGUGGCUGGUUCUGGAUUUGAGUUUGUGGAGCUGCCAUCACCUGCUGCUGCAGAGUGGGCCUAUUGCCCAGACAGAGAGUUUGUAAAUUCCUACUGGGCCUGGGUAGCGGUGGAAAUUGCUCCCUGCUCUUUACGUCCAGUGGCUUGGAGACUGUUGGUGGUUCCUCUUCUGAAUCUCUGUUGGAAAGCAAAGGCUGGUUUGACAAUAAGACAGAAGGAGGAGUGUAAUGAGGAUCUGGGUUCUGCACUGCUGUUGCUGCUGCGGCCAGUACCCGCUCAACUGUCGUGGCUGUAGUGGGAGCAAGCCUGCCCCUGUACCGUUUUUCAGCCCAGUUUACUGCCACUUGAAGUGCAAUUGUUUCUAUUUAUUAGGCUAUAUUGAGAAAUGAUGUUAGCGUAGUGAUCCCGUAAAAUAACCAGGUUUUCCUCCAUCCACUUGUUGGUGUUAGUGGUGAUUUUGUUUUUAACUUCCUCUGUAGGACUUGCUGGUUUGAUGAACCCGGACAGCUUCUGACCUGCCUCAUCAUGCCUGCGGGAGGAGUGCCGGUAGAUAUGGCCCGGUCAGUAAUGUUUUUAUGAUGAAUGGCUUGGAUGAGUUUAAAAUACUUUUUAGCCAGGUCUCUUGUAUUAGGAUCUAGCACCUGUUUUAUCUUAGUUUGUCUUUUAACUCUACCUCUCUCCUCAGGUAAGGAGUUGUGGGUGUAAGUGUUAUUGUGUGAGCCCUCUGGAUUUUCCUCUCUGUGGCCUAGGUCACAUUGAGCAACAGUCUCCCCAUAGUGAGCCCCACCGUCCAUAUUGGAGGUCCUACCUUUAGCCUUGUUGUGGAAGGAUUGCGCCAUGUGGUUUGUCCUGGGCCUGGUGACGUGGAGUCUCUGCUUCUUAGGCCUCAGGUCUGUAGGCCUCACUUCCCUGUGGCUCAUUGUCCGGCUGUCGGUGUGCUUCCAGGUCCCGUUCCUGUCCAUCUGGUUUCUGGAGCAGAAAAAAACGCUCCCAGAGGCAUAAGGGGGUUUCAAUGUCCUCAGGUAAAUGUCCAAUCCAAGGUUAAACGCAUAAUCCACAAUGUGGUUGAAUAAAAAUCCACUCAGUGUGAAAGGUAACUAAAGG